rnacentral:rRNA from 1 species
GAUGAACGCUGGCGGCGUGCUUAACACAUGCAAGUCGAACGAGCCUUCGGGCUAGUGGCGGACGGGUGAGUAACGCGUGGGAAUCUGCCCUCAGGAGGGGGAUAACGGCCGGAAACGGCCGCUAAUACCCCAUAUGCCGAGAGGUGAAAUGAAUUUCGCCUGAGGAUGAGCCCGCGUCUGAUUAGCUAGUUGGUGGGGUAAUGGCCCACCAAGGCGACGAUCAGUAGCUGGUCUGAGAGGAUGAUCAGCCACACUGGGACUGAGACACGGCCCAGACUCCUACGGGAGGCAGCAGUGGGGAAUUUUCCGCAAUGGGCGAAAGCCUGACGGAGCAACGCCGCGUGAGGGAUGAAGGCCUCUGGGCUGUAAACCUCUUUUCUCAAGGAAGAAGACAUGACGGUACUUGAGGAAUAAGCCACGGCUAAUUCCGUGCCAGCAGCCGCGGUAAUACGGGAGUGGCAAGCGUUAUCCGGAAUUAUUGGGCGUAAAGCGUCCGCAGGCGGCCUUGUAAGUCUGUCGUUAAAGCGUGGAGCUUAACUCCAUUUGAGCGAUGGAAACUACAAGGCUUGAGUGUGGUAGGGGCAGAGGGAAUUCCCGGUGUAGCGGUGAAAUGCGUAGAUAUCGGGAAGAACACCAGUGGCGAAGGCGCUCUGCUGGGCCAUAACUGACGCUCAUGGACGAAAGCCAGGGGAGCGAAAGGGAUUAGAUACCCCUGUAGUCCUGGCCGUAAACGAUGAACACUAGGUGUCGGGGGAAUCGACCCCCUCGGUGUCGUAGCUAACGCGUUAAGUGUUCCGCCUGGGGAGUACGCACGCAAGUGUGAAACUCAAAGGAAUUGACGGGGGCCCGCACAAGCGGUGGAGUAUGUGGUUUAAUUCGAUGCAACGCGAAGAACCUUACCAGGGUUUGACAUCCUGCGAAUCCCUUGGAAACGAGGGAGUGCCUUCGGGAGCGCAGAGACAGGUGGUGCAUGGCUGUCGUCAGCUCGUGUCGUGAGAUGUUGGGUUAAGUCCCGCAACGAGCGCAACCCACGUCUUUAGUUGCCAGCAUUCAGUUGGGCACUCUAGAGAGACCGCCGGUGAUAAACCGGAGGAAGGUGUGGAUGACGUCAAGUCAUCAUGCCCCUUACAUCCUGGGCUACACACGUACUACAAUGCUACGGACAAAGGGUUGCAAGCUCGCGAGAGUUAGCUAAUCCCAUAAACCGUGGCUCAGUUCAGAUCGUAGGCUGCAACUCGCCUACGUGAAGGAGGAAUCGCUAGUAAUCGCAGGUCAGCAUACUGCGGUGAAUACGUUCCCGGGCCUUGUACACACCGCCCGUCACACCAUGGAAGUUGGCCAUGCCCGAAGUCGUUACUCCAACCCUUGUGGAGGAGGACGCCGAAGGUGGGGCUGAUGACUGGGGUGAAGUCGUAACA